GCCUGCCCAGUGACUCUUUAAACGGCCGCGGUAUCCUAACCGUGCAAAGGUAGCAUAAUCACUUGUCCCUUAAAUCGGGACUGGAAUGAACGGCUAAAUGAGGACUAAACUGUCUCUUACAGGCUAGCCAAUGAAAUUGAUUUUCCAGUACAAAAGCUGGAAUAUAACCACAAGACGAGAAGACCCUGUGGAGCUUACAAACCAAAUUCACCAAACAUGUCUUUAUCGGUUUUCAGUUGGGGCGACUUUGGAGUAAAAAACAACCUCCAAACACCAAACUAAUUAAGAACAACAUAUCAAAAUAUAUCUGUAAUGACCCAGCAACCCUGUGGUUGUCUGAUUAAUGAACCAAGUUACCCCAGGGAAUAACAGCGCCAUCCCCUUCUAGAGUUCCUAUCGACAAGGGGGUUUACGACCUCGAUGUUGGAUCAGGACACCCCAAUGGUGCAGCCGCCAUUAACGGUUCGUUUGUUCAACGAUUAAAGUCCAACGUGAU
rnacentral:rRNA from 1 species